GUUCCUUCCAGGCCCUGAAAUGGUUGUCUUAGAGGAAUCUCCUCGCUGAUGUGAGAUCCCUAUUGGAUGAGGUUGUGGCAUUCAAGAGCUGUCCAGUCACCAAGAUGAUAUGUCCUCCCCCAAAGUGGAGUCUGUCAUCCUCAAAAAUUUGUGGAACAUGCAUUCAUCCCACCUUCCCCAUGGAUGGAGAGAUACCUGUGUGGAGAGCAGAUUGUCCUCAAGACAGAGUUCAUAUGGCCACGACUUGGAUGCCAAAUCAUUACAACAGAGGCGAGGCUACUCCUUCAGCACUAAAGGUGACUCACAAGCAGCACCACUCUAGGAAAGUUAAAAGUGAUAAUUCGACAAGACUAGAGGAUUGUGUGGGACUCAAAGGGAUGAAACAGCCUUGCAGGGGCUCUCCUUCCUCUGUCUCUUAGUGAUGAAUGAAAGUGGAAAGCCAGAUCAAUUCAGAGCUGCUGAAAAAUAAAAGAUGAUCACGUCUUCAUGAACACCCAGGAUUUGUCAUAAAAUAAAUUCUGCCACCUCUGUCUUCUC